GUCGCCGAACAAGGACUCCCUGAGAGACGCUCCCAAGUCUGCGUGAGCUCGCUGCGCUUGCGCGACUGCAAACACUUCUGCGCAGCUCCCCUGAUGGGCGGAGUCUGGGGUCUGCUUCAGCUUCUCUCGUUUCCGCGCGCUGAGCUGUGCUUACAACUGUGUGAGGUAGCGUGAAUUCAGGCUACAAAUCUGAGUGCUGACCUCUUUGUGAUGACAAAUUCUCAGACCCAGAUGCUCAGCUUAGAAAGGCUCAGCCAGGGCCCCAGGCUGCUGGGGUGGAGCUGACUCCCUGCAGCUGCCUGCCACAUGUGGAGGCUGCAUCUGCACCACCAUG
ensembl:lncRNA